CUACGGGAGGGCAGCAGUGAGGAAUAUUGCACAAUGGGGGGAACCCUGAUGCAGCAACGCCGCGUGGAGGAUGACGCAUUUCGGUGUGUAAACUCCUUUUAUAUGUCAAGAAAAUGACGGUAGCAUAUGAAUAAGCACCGGCUAACUCCGUGCCAGCAGCCGCGGUAAUACGGAGGGUGCAAGCGUUACUCGGAAUCACUGGGCGUAAAGGACGCGUAGGCGGGUUGGAAAGUCAGGUGUGAAAUCCUACAGCUUAACUGUAGAACUGCACUUGAAACUUCUAAUCUAGAGUAUGGGAGGGGGAGAUGGAAUUAGUGGUGUAGGAGUAAAAUCCGUAGAUAUCAUUAGGAAUACCUAAAGCGAAGGCGAUCUCCUGGAACAUUACUGACGCUAAGGCGUGAAAGCGUGGGGAGCAAACAGGAUUAGAUACCCCCGUAGUC
rnacentral:rRNA from 1 species